rnacentral:rRNA from 1 species
CUGCUAAUACUCUAUACUCCUGCUUAACACAAGUUGAGUAGGGAAAGUUUUUCGGUGUAUGAUGAGACUAUAUAGUAUCAGCUAGUUGGUAAGGUAAUGGCUNNNNAAGGCUAUGACGCUUAACUGGUCUGAGAGGAUGAUCAGUCACACUGGAACUGAGACACGGUCCAGACUCCUACGGGAGGCAGCAGUAGGGAAUAUUGCGCAAUGGGGGAAACCCUGACGCAGCAACGCCGCGUGGAGGAUGACACUUUUCGGAGCGUAAACUCCUUUUCUUAGGGAAGAAUUCUGACGGUACCUAAGGAAUAAGCACCGGCUAACUCCGUGCCAGCAGCCGCGGUAAUACGGAGGGUGCAAGCGUUACUCGGAAUCACUGGGCGUAAAGGGCGCGUAGGCGGAUUAUCAAGUCUCUUGUGAAAUCUAAUGGCUUAACCAUUAAACUGCUUGGGAAACUGAUAGUCUAGAGUGAGGGAGAGGCAGAUGGAAUUGGUGGUGUAGGGGUAAAAUCCGUAGAUAUCACCAAGAAUACCCAUUGCGAAGGCGAUUUGCUGGAACUCAACUGACGCUAAGGCGCGAAAGCGUGGGGAGCAAACAGGAUUAGAUACCCUGGUAGUCCACGCCCUAAACGAUGUACACUAGUUGUUGGGGUGCUAGUCAUCUCAGUAAUGCAGCUAACGCAUUAAGUGUACCGCCUGGGGAGUACGGUCGCAAGAUUAAAACUCAAAGGAAUAGACGGGGACCCGCACAAGCGGUGGAGCAUGUGGUUUAAUUCGAAGAUACGCGAAGAACCUUACCUGGGCUUGAUAUCCUAAGAACCUUAUAGAGAUAUGAGGGUGCUAGCUUGCUAGAACUUAGAGACAGGUGCUGCACGGCUGUCGUCAGCUCGUGUCGUGAGAUGUUGGGUUAAGUCCCGCAACGAGCGCAACCCAUGUAUUUAGUUGCUAACGGUUCGGCCGAGCACUCUAAAUAGACUGCCUUCGUAAGGAGGAGGAAGGUGUGGACGACGUCAAGUCAUCAUGGCCCUUAUGCCCAGGGCGACACACGUGCUACAAUGGCAUAUACAAUGAGACGCAAUACCGCGAGGUGGAGCAAAUCUAUAAAAUAUGUCCCAGUUCGGAUUGUUCUCUGCAACUCGAGAGCAUGAAGCCGGAAUCGCUAGUAAUCGUAGAUCAGCCAUGCUACGGUGAAUACGUUCCCGGGUCUUGUACNNNCCGCCCGUCACACCAUGGGAGUUGAUUCACUCGAAGCCGGAAUACUAA